rnacentral:rRNA from 1 species
UGAGCAAUCUGCCCUUCUCAUCGGAAUAAGCGUUGGAAACGACGUCUAAUGCCGAAUACGACCUCCUUUCGCAUGAUCGGAGGUGGAAAGCUCCGGCGGAGAAGGAUGAGCUCGCGGCCCAUCAGCUAGUUGGUGUGGGUAAUGGCCCACCAAGGCGACGACGGGUAGCCGGCCUGAGAGGGUGACCGGCCACACGUGGGACUGAGACACCGGCCCAGACCUCCGUACGGGAGCA